CCUACGGGUGGCAGCAGUGAGGAAUAUUGGUCAAUGGACGAGAGUCUGAACCAGCCAAGUAGCGUGAAGGACGACUGCCCUAUGGGUUGUAAACUUCUUUUAUAUGGGAAGAAAACGUUCUACGUGUGGGAUUCUGCCUGUACCUUAUGAAUAAGCAUCGGCUAACUCCGUGCCAGCAGCCGCGGUAAUCCGGAGGAUGCGAGCGUUAUCCGGUUUUAUUGGGUUUAAAGGGUGCGUGGGGGGUUUUUUAAUUUAGUGGUAAAAUUUCGGGGCUAAACCUUGAUUUGCAAUUAAUACUGUAAGACUUGAGUGCAGAAGAGGUAGGCGGAAUAAGUGAAGUAGCGGUGAAAUGCUUAGAUAUAACGAAGAACUCCGAUAGCGAAGGCAGUUUACUGGACUGCGACUGACGCUGAGGCACGAGAGUGUGGGUAGCGAACAGGAUUAGAUACCCCAGUAGUC
rnacentral:rRNA from 1 species